GACGAACGCUGGCGGCGUGCCUAAUACAUGCAAGUAGAACGCUGAAGGAGGAGCUUGCUCUUCUGGAUGAGUUGCGAACGGGUGAGUAACGCGUAGGUAACCUGCCUGGUAGCGGGGGAUAACUAUUGGAAACGAUAGCUAAUACCGCAUAACAGUAGAUGCUGCAUGACAUUUACUUAAAAGGUGCAAUUGCAUCACUACCAGAUGGACCUGCGUUGUAUUAGCUAGUUGGUGGGGUAACGGCUCACCAAGGCGACGAUACAUAGCCGACCUGAGAGGGGGAUCGGCCACACUGGGACUGAGACACGGCCCAGACUCCUACGGGAGGCAGCAGUAGGGAAUCUUCGGCAAUGGACGGAAGUCUGACCGAGCAACGCCGCGUGAGUGAAGAAGGGUUUCGGAUCGUAAAGCUCUGUUGUAAGAGAAGAACGAGUGUGGGAGUGGAAAGUUCACACUGUGACGGUAUCUUACCAGAAAGGGACGGCUAACUACGUG
rnacentral:rRNA from 1 species